rnacentral:lncRNA from 1 species
GAUCCCUCUGGUGUGUCUAUGUCUAAUGCUGCCUCCUUUCCCCCAUCCUUCAAAAUCUCUUCUUUUAUCUGCAUCUGCAGGACCCCAAGAGACAGCCUCCGGCAGCCAUCUUUGUACAACGGGAUCCUGUCCCCCUGGCCAAAGCUGAUUAGAGGUGAGGUGGGUGGUGUACCUAAAGGGUUCUCAUCUCUUCUGAAGAGUUUGGAAAGGGAGCAACAGCUGCCUGCACCAGGCUCUUCAAGUGAUUGGACCUGUAACGCCACCUCUGGAAUUGUGGGACAGUUGUUUUCUGUCAUUUAAGAAGUGAAGAAAAAGCUGGUGUUUGGGAAAGUAAAAAAUGAAAUAGAUACACAGAAAGAAGUAGACACGAGUUUUGGCUCCAUAAGACACAUUGAUAUAUCCCCUUACACCACACACACACACACACACACACACACACACACCAGCUUGAGGUAGUUUAUAUAACCAGCAACAAGAGUCCUAACCAACACAUGAGAACACAGUGUCCCUUUUCAGUCACGACUGAGGAUCUUGUGGAAUGUUAGGGUCUCCAUGAAGAACCCGUAGUUCUCAUUAUUCAGAACACUGUGUGGAAAACCAAAGAGUCAGACCUGUCAUAAGUUUAUUUCAGAAGCUGCUCUAAGAAUUGCCUUUGUUCACUUUCAGUUUUCACAAUUGGUUCAGUUUCAAUGCUUCAACUCUUUCCCCUAAGAAGCACUCAGCAAAGCAUCCACAGGGCCCACAAAUGACUGUGGUCUGUGUGUGUGAGUGUUGUGUGGCAUCUGGGAAGGGUAGGUGAUGGGACCCACAUACAUUGAGUUCCAACUGUUUCCCUUUCCUGGAUGGUUUACUUUAAUCCCCACCACAUACUGGUACUCCUGAUAAAACCGUUUUAUCGUUGAAGAAGCUGCAUCUCAGAAAAGCACAUUGAUUUUGUUAAGGUCACGUGGCUGAAACCCAGGUUCAGUUCUCCCAGGUCCGUGGAGAACCAAAUUUGAUGCUAUUUUCACUCUUCCAUGUUAUUACACAGGGGGGAAAACACGCCUUGACCGGAUGUCCUGUUAGGGAGAUUCUAGUUCACUGACAUCCAACUUUCUUAGAAUUGUAUCAUACUGGAGAUUCUCGACCUUGAGGGAGAGAAUCAGGGACAGAGAGAUCUCCCAGCUCCAGACAUACUAGGAACAUUUCUGCAUAUUCUAAAUAAAACAUUGCUAUAUCCAGUAGGAACUAGGAUAGCAAUUUUUAGCACCUUAUUUAUAAAGGUGGGAAAAACAAAAGCCAAAGAAAGUAAAUGAGAAACACAAGAUCUUCAGACAGACCCAGGAGCCCACUGCGGCCUUCUGGCUCUGCCUGUCUCAGUAGAAGAACAUUCUGGAGCAGUUGAUCUUUCUUGACUAAUUAAAGGUGAUUGGAGUUUUGGAGUCAGCAUGGCUUUUGCCUCCCCUCAGCCCCACAUCCUUGGACACCAUACUGUCUGCGGGCUGUCAGUUAGCAAGUAAGUCUAGAGAAGAGCUGGUGUUGGCUGAAGUCAGCCCGGACAGAAUGAGAUUAGGAAGAUCCAGGCAAAACCUUGGACCUCAAUGUGGUUUGAACCUAGUAAAAAAAUCAUGCAAGUGCUUAAAUCAGACUCUGCAAACGCCUCAAAAUGGACACAGCUGUGCAGCAUAAAGCUCCCAACUGGAAUAAGCAAAUCGGAACCAGACUUUUCUCUUCUGAUGCUCUCAACUCUUCUUUAUCUAAUGAAUGUUUUUGUUUUAUUUAGAUUUUUUUAAAGCCCUCACCUUGAUUUGUUGAUCACAAAGGAAUGUUGCCUGCUUAUUUUAAUGCAUUCCAACAUUACCAAGGUAAAAUGCAGAAAGGGAACAUUUGGAGUUGAAUUUGAAAUACCGUCAGUAGCCCUUCCUGUAAAACUUGCCAAUGUCAAGGCUAUGUUAAAGAAUGUAAGCUACAGGAAAACUCCAAUUAGUCAAAAUGUCCAGGGAAUGGGAGAUUCCAGGUUAUUUCAGAGAAAACCUUUUUCACAUCAACUCUUGACGUUGGAAAUCUUACUGAAAAGUAUGAGUUGGGUUUCCUGUCUUUAAGAAGCACAGUUUAUUCCAAAAUUAAUUUAAUGUUCAUCUGACAGUUGAGGGUCAGGCUGUAUCACGGGUUAAGCAUUCUGGACCCCAAUUCCCAUUGUCCAGAAAAAACAAACCAAAACUAAACAGGAGAUUGAGGAGACUUUGAACGCCACCCUCGGACAUGUUUUCGAUGUCCCUGAAAUGAGCCUUUUCCUUUUGUAUUUUGCUCCUUUCUCCUUGUAUAGAGGGGGGAGAAAAACAUCUGCGAGACUUGGUGCCUUGCCUGCAUAAAUUCCAGCUAAAUCAAGAUUUUCCCAUACUUACAGUUUUAUAUAAAUGCUUUGGCCAUCAGCAGUUGGAAGCCAUCCUUCCUAUGGCCUGUGCAGGAGAAUUGGGAGAAGUGAGCACCUCCCUCAGCCACCUGCCACCUUCCCCACCACCACUGGAGAGCAGAUCAGCAGAAUUUGGUCAUUUCUUCCCAGAUCAGUUGUCACUGUCUGCACCCGGCUCCUCAGCAUCCAUGACGUUUCUUUGUUGUAGGAAGCUCUUCUGUGCUCUGUGGACCCACACCAUCUCAGCUCCCACUGUUUGGAGGCCAGCAGCACUCGCCCACCUCCUUAACCAUGACCACCCAAAAUGUCUCCCGAUAUUGCCAGACGUCCUCCAAGGGACAGAGUUGCCCCCAGUUGAGAAUCACUGGUCUAGACAUGGGUUCAGUUAUUUCUCUUUUAUUUUCCCUCCCCCUGUCAUCAAGAUUAUACGUUUUCUUGACCUUGGCAAAUAAUUUCAUAACAUAUUUCCUGCUCUAUUUCAUGGAAGAACAAAAAUAAUUCUCUGAUGAAAGUCAUAUUUUGACUUAAAUUGCAUGAGGCAGGCCUUGUUAUAACACACCCACAGGUUCCGCGUUGUUUUUGGAAGGCAGUAAAUUUGUUUUCUGCUUCGAUCCUGAUUUUGAUUUUUAAGUACUGAAUUUUCAUACUCUACUCAGUUCCCCUGGAGGUCAUUGUCAUCAUGGACAUCAAAUCGACGUCUCAGGCACAGUCUCUCAUGUCGUACCGUCUCUCUCAAUUUCAUUUUUGCAUCUGUCUCGAAAUCAUUUUUGCUGCUGUGGCUAAUGUUCCAUGUUUUUUCACUCACUGUUCUUUAAAGCCCAUUUAUUCCCUUUUUCCAGUGAGUUCAGUUUAAAUCUUAUGUCUUGUACGAUAUUUUGGGUAUUUAAAAAAAUAUCUGUUAAAUGUGUUAAAUUCAGGUAGUAAGUUAUAGAUGCCUGAUUGCAAGCCUAUGGUAAUAUUUCUGCCAUAGAACGGGGUGAUAGUUGAAACUGUUUUGGAGAAGCAGAUUUUGGGAUUAGGAAAGUUACCCAUAUAUGUUGAUUGUCAAAUGUCAAACAAUUCAGUUAUGCUACAGUUUGGAUUUGGAAUGUUCCCCAAAGGCCCGUAGGUUGAAGGCUUGGUUGUCAGUGUGGUACUGUUGGAAGGUGGUGGGAAUUUUAAGAAGUGGGGUCACUGGGAUUGUGCUCUUGAAGGGAAUUGCAGGGCCCCAGUUCCCCUUUCUCCCUCUCUUCUACUUCCCAGUCACCAAGAGGGGAGUGAUUUUCUGCCCUCUGUAUUCCCUCCUUGAUUUCUGUCUCCCCACAGGCCCCAAACAAUGGGACCAACUGACCAAGGGUUGAGACCUCCAAACCUAGGACCCAAAAUAAACUCUCUAUCUUUAUAAACUGGUGAAAUCAGGUAUUUGUAACAGUAACUCAGAACUGAUGGACACAAAUUAAUAAUUCAUAUGAUAUCUAUUUUGGACCAAAUAAGCGUAUGCACACUGAGAUUUUUUCAGAUUCAUCAGAGGUUUUGCAUGUAUUAUUUUUACUUGGAUUGUAAAAAAUGGAACACAAAACUGUAGAUGAUUUCUGAAUACAUAAAAAUAUUUCCAGGUUGAGGCUAGAAUUCAGUGGUUGUGCAUAUGUGAGACCCUGGAUUCAAUUCUCAGCGCUGGAAAAAAAAAUUCCAUGUACAUAGACAAAGGCUAGUAUAUAAAAGUUAGCAUUGAACAGUUGUAUUGAUUAUAGCAAAUGCUUUCUCCUAUUCAAAGUUUUCUAUGGAUUAGAGUUUACAUAAAUUUUCGGUAGCACAUAUUUUUUAUUACCUGAAGAAGCUUUCUUGUUCACUUAAAAUACAAAACAGAUGACAAAUCACUUGUGAUAACACCACCCAGUGAUGGUCACUGUCAACAGUCUUUUUUUCCUUUUACAAAACAGAUCAUCCUAAAUAAAUUAUUCUUUAUCCUGCUUUUUAAAUCAUAGUGAGUAUGAAUAUAAAUAUACAGCUAUCUAUGGAUAUCUAAGAAGGAUUGUCACAAGUAAAAUAUCAUAGUAUUUACCUGUAACCUACACACACCCUUCCUACACUUUAAAUUGUCUCUAGAUGACUUACAAUACCCAAUACCUUUCUCGAAUAUUAUUUUAUUGUGUUGUUCAAGGAAUAAUUAUAAGAAAAAGCAGUCUAUAUAUAUUCAACACAGAUGCAACCAUCAUAGGUCAACUACGUCUCUGAUAUGAAUUGGUUGAAUUCAUGGAUAUGGAACCCAUAGAUAGGGAGGGACAACUAUUAACUUGUGUAUUUCUGUUUGAUAUUAUGGGACUUUUGGAGAUUUCCAGUUUCUUCCAUUAUAUAUAUUAUGUUGCAAAGAAGAUCUCCAUACAAAAUCUUUCCACACGUGGUUAAGCAACUCUUGCAGCUAAAACUUGAG